AUUGAACGCUGGCGGCAGGCUUAACACAUGCAAGUCGAGCGGGGUGAUGUAGCUUGCUACAUUACCUAGCGGCGGACGGGUGAGUAAUGCUUAGGAAUCUGCCUAUUAGUGGGGGACAACAUUCCGAAAGGAAUGCUAAUACCGCAUACGCCCUACGGGGGAAAGCAGGGGAUCUUCGGACCUUGCGCUAAUAGAUGAGCCUAAGUCAGAUUAGCUAGUUGGUGGGGUAAAGGCCUACCAAGGCGACGAUCUGUAGCGGGUCUGAGAGGAUGAUCCGCCACACUGGGACUGAGACACGGCCCAGACUCCUACGGGAGGCAGCAGUGGGGAAUAUUGGACAAUGGGCGAAAGCCUGAUCCAGCCAUGCCGCGUGUGUGAAGAAGGCCUUUUGGUUGUAAAGCACUUUAAGCGAGGAGGAGGCUACUUGGAUUAAUACUCUAGGAUAGUGGACGUUACUUGCAGAAUAAGCACCGGCUAACUCUGUGCCAGCCGCCGCAGUAAGAC
rnacentral:rRNA from 1 species